rnacentral:rRNA from 1 species
CCUACGGGAGGCAGCAGUAGGGAAUAUUGCUCAAUGGGGGAAACCCUGAAGCAGCAACGCCGCGUGGAGGAUGAAGGUUUUCGGAUUUUAAACUCCUUUUGUUAGAGAAGAUAAUGACGGUAUCUAACGAAUAAGCACCGUCUAACUCCGUGCCAGCAGCCGCGGUAAUACGGAGGGUGCAAGCGUUACUCGGAAUCACUGGGCGUAAAGAGCGCGUAGGCGGGAUAGCAAGUCAGAUGUGAAAUCCUAUGGCUUAACCAUAGAACUGCAUUUGAAACUGUUAUUCUAGAGUAUGGGAGAGGUAGGUGGAAUUCUUGGUGUAGGGGUAAAAUCCGUAGAGAUCAAGAGGAAUACUCAUUGCGAAGGCGACCUGCUAGAACAUAACUGACGCUGAUGCGCGAAAGCGUGGGGAGCAAACAGGAUUAGAUACCCCGGUAGUC